UGGGAGUGACAGCUGUCGAAAGAUGGUUUUUCUUCGGACACUCUUCAAGGUGCUGCAUGGUUGUCGUCAGCUCGUGCCGUGAGGUUGUCGGGUUUAAGUCCCAUUAACGAGCGCAACCCUUACCGUUAGUUACCAUCAGGUUAAGCUGGGGACUCUAGCGGGACUGCCACCGUAAGGUGAGAGGAAGGUGGGGAUGACGUCAAAUCAGCACGGCCCUUAUGUCCAGGGCUACACACGUGUUACAAUGGCCAGUACAAAGGGCAGCUACCGGGUGACCGGAUGCUAAUCUCUAAAGCUGGUCUCAGUUCGGAUCGAAGUCUGCAACCCGACUUCGUGAAGCUGGAUUCGCUAGUAAUCGCGUUUCAACAGAACGCGGUGAAUACGUCCCUGCUCCUU
rnacentral:rRNA from 1 species